UACGUAGGGCGCAAGCGUUGUCCGGAAUUAUUGGGCGUAAAGAGCUCGUAGGCGGUUUGGCAAGUCGGAUGUGAAAGCCCGGGGCUUAACCCCGGGUCUGCAUUCGAUACGGGCAGACUAGAGUGUGGUAGGGGAGAUCGGAAUUCCUGAUGUAGCGGUGAAAUGCGCAGAUAUCAGGAGGAACACCGGUGGCGAAGGCGGAUCUCUGGGCCAUUACUGACGCUGAGGAGCGAAAGCGUGGGGAGCGAACGGG
rnacentral:rRNA from 1 species